AUUGAACGCUGGCGGCAGGCCUAACACAUGCAAGUCGAACGAGUGGCGGACGGGUGAGUAAUGCUUGGGAAUCUAGCUUAUGGAUGGGGAUAACUACGGGAAACUGUAGCUAAUACCGCGUACCAUAGGAUGAGCCCAAGUGGGAUUAGGUAGGUGGUGGGGGAAAGGCUACACACGCCCACGAUCCCUAGCUGGUCUGAGAGGAUGACCAGCCAAACUGGGACUGAGACACGGCCCAGACGCCUACGUGAGGCAGCAGUGGGGAAUAUUGCGCAAUGGGGGCAACCUGACGCAGCCAUGCCGCGUGAAUGAAGAAGGCCUUCGGGUUGUAAAGUUCUUUCGGUAGCGAGGCGUUAACUACAGAAGAAGCACCGGCUAACUCCGUGCCAGCAGCCGCGGUAAUUC
rnacentral:rRNA from 1 species